CUUGAGGCCUCUUAUUGAAGACAUCUAAUGUACUCUUUACAUCACUCUCCAAUGACUUGCGGUAAUCAUUGUGUUCCUUAUUGUAUCUUUCUUUCAGCUCUUCAAUUUUGGCAGUUGGGAAAUCUGACUCAGCAAGAUUUCCAAUGGCUUCAAGAGAUGCGGUGCUCAGAUUAAGGGCAAUUAAUGCCUCUUUAGCAUGUUUAACGUAGUCAUCAAAUGUGGCUUUAUCAAUAGCCAGGCUGUGCGAAUGACAGAGAGUAUUUCUCAAAAGGCGAAGCUGAUCAAUUCCCAAAGUUAGUGUUUCAUUUGGAUCUCCACUGGAACUGAUCACUGUGGAAUGGAAUGGACCUGGGACAGGCUUUCGGUUCUUCAAGUACAACUCACCAAGAGUUUUCAUGUUGCCCUUACUAUCAGGUAAAGCAAAAGUUUUUGCAUACAAGGUUGCUUGGAAUAACGCUG